rnacentral:rRNA from 1 species
AUGCUGCGAUCCCUCGCCGCCGCCGCGCGCUCGCCGGCGGCCGCCGCGUGGCGGCGCCUCCUCCACCAUGGCAGAGACAUCGGCGGUGGGGAGGAGGUGGAGAGCAUGGCGUACCGCAUGUCGAUGCUGCGGGCUCCCCCUGUCGCGCGGAAGAAGGAUAUUGUUAGCUCCAACUUGUGCAGCCUCAUCGGCCGCCUCAACGCGCCGGUGCGCCUGCACCGAAACAGCUCCGAGGAGGACCCGAAGGCUUACACCUUCCUCUGCGUUACGCCCGCUUCCUCGUCCUCGUCGACCUGUGCCAACUUCCAAGUGACACUGCAGCUGAAGGGCGAUCUGGCAAAUGUGUGCCUGAAGCAUUUGAAGUACAAUGACCUUGUACAUGUAUCUGGUUUUCUGAAUUCUUAUCAUAAAGUCAGUGGAACUGGUGAAAAGUAUGUGUGCUAUAAGAUCCACGUCAAGGAACUGAAUUGCGUUCAUGAUCCCAAGAAGCCUAGGAAUGAUAAAGGCUCGGUAGAUCCAGCAUCAACACCAUCUGCGGAUACUCAAACACUUGAAGAAAUCAAGUACAGAGAAAGGCUUCAUCUGUGGCAAGUCUUCUUUGCCAGCCCUUACGAGUGGUGGGAUAACCGGCAACAAAAACCAUACGCCAGUUGCCCUGAUUUUAAGCACAAGGACACCCGUGAGCAGCUAUGGCUUCAUCCAGAUGACCCACCUUGGGUAAGAAAGCAGCUCGAAUUGAUUGACCAGCAAACGGCAGAGAGUGGUCGCAGGGAUGGCAGAGGGCGCUUGACAAACCCAAGAUGGAACGCUCAAGACUUCAACUACUCUGACGAAUGUGACGAUGAUGAGCAGGACACGCAAAGGCAGGCGAAUGGAUGA